ACGUAGGUGGCAAGCGUUGUCCGGAAUUAUUGGGCGUAAAGGGCGCGCAGGCGGUUUCAUAAGUCUGUCUUAAAAGUGCGGGGCUUAACCCCGUGAGGGGACGGAAACUGUGAGACUGGAGUGUCGGAGAGGAAAGCGGAAUUCCUAGUGUAGCGGUGAAAUGCGUAGAUAUUAGGAGGAACACCAGUGGCGAAAGCGGCUUUCUGGACGACAACUGACGCUGAGGCGCGAAAGCCAGGGGAGCGAACGG
rnacentral:rRNA from 1 species